rnacentral:rRNA from 1 species
AUUGAACGCUGGCGGCAGGCCUAACACAUGCAAGUCGAACGAGUGGCGGACGGGUGAGUAAUGUCUGGGAAACUGCCUGAUGGAGGGGGAUAACUACUGGAAACGGUAGCUAAUACCGCAUACCAUCAGAUGUGCCCAGAUGGGAUUAGCUAGUUGGUGUGGUAACGGCUCACCAAGGCGACGAGCCCUAGCUGGUCUGAGAGGAUGACCAGCCACUAGGGAACGGAGACAGGUUCCAGACUCCUACGGGAGACAGCAGUGGGGAAUAUUGCACAAUGGGCGCAAGCUGGAUGCAGCCAUGCGGCGUGUAUGAAGAAGGCCUUCGGGUUGUAAAGUACGUUCAGCGGGGAGGCGUUACCCGCAGAAGAAGCACCGGCUAACUCCGUGCCAGCAGCCGCGGUAAUAC